GAGGAAAGCGGGGGGCGUGCCUAAUACAUGCAAGUCGAGCGAACAGAUGAGGAGCUUGCUCCUCUGACGUUAGCGGCGGACGGGUGAGUAACACGUGGAUAACCUACCUAUAAGACUGGGAUAACUUCGGGAAACCGGAGCUAAUACCGGAUAAUAUAUUGAACCGCAUGGUUCAAUAGUGAAAGACGGUUUUGCUGUCACUUAUAGAUGGAUCCGCGCCGCAUUAGCUAGUUGGUAAGGUAACGGCUUACCAAGGCAACGAUGCGUAGCCGACCUGAGAGGGUGAUCGGCCACACUGGAACUGAGACACGGUCCAGACUCCUACGGGAGGCAGCAGUAGGGAAUCUUCCGCAAUGGGCGAAAGCCUGACGGAGCAACGCCGCGUGAGUGAUGAAGGUCUUCGGAUCGUAAAACUCUGUUAUUAGGGAAGAACAAAUGUGUAAGUAACUAUGCACGUCUUGACGGUACCUAAUCAGAAAGCCACGGCUAACUACGUG
rnacentral:rRNA from 1 species